UUUUUUGCCAGAAACCAUUGUUUAUUUCUGGUUUCCUGCAAAAAAUGGCCAUUGUGGACAAUGAGUUCACUUAACGACUGCCAGAAAAAAAAUCUGUGUAAU